rnacentral:rRNA from 1 species
GACUAACGCUGGCGGCGUGCCUAACACAUGCAAGUCGAGCGGGCGUAGCAAUACGUCAGCGGCAGACGGGUGAGUAACGCGUGGGAACAUACCUUUGGUUCGGAACAACACAGGGAAACGUUGUGCUAAUACCGGAUAAGCCCUUACGGGGAAGGAUUAUCGCCGAAGAUUGGCCCGCGUCUGAUUAGCUAGUUGGUGAGGUAACGGCUCACCAAGGCGACGAUCAGUAGCUGGCUGAGAGGAUGACCAGCCACAUUGGG